rnacentral:rRNA from 1 species
ACUGUAGGCUGCAACUCGCCUACACGAAGUCGGAAUCGCUAGUAAUUGCGGAUCAGCAUGCCGCGGUGAAUACGUUCCCGGGCCUUGUACACACCGCCCGUCACACCAUGGGAGUUUGUAACGCCCAAAGUCGGUGGCCUAACCUUUAUGGAGGGAGCCGCCUAAGGCGGGACAGAUGACUGGGGUGAAGUCGUAACAAGGUAAC